rnacentral:rRNA from 1 species
GUCUACGGUCAUGCUACCCUGAACAAGCCCAAUCCCAUCUGAUCUCAGAAGCUAAGCAGGGUUGGGCCUGGGAGUACUUGGACCGCCUAGGAAGACCAGGUGCUGUAAGCA